rnacentral:rRNA from 1 species
UACGUAGUGGGGCAAGCGUUAUCCGGAAUUAUUGGGCGUAAAGAGUGCGUAGGUGGUUACCUAAGCGCAAGGUUUAAUCUUGAGGCUCAACCUCAUUCUGCCUUGCGAACUGGGCUACUUGAGUGCAGGAGGGGAAAGCGGAAUUCCCAGUGUAGCGGUGAAAUGCGUAGAUAUUGGGAAGAACACCGGUGGCGAAGGCGGCUUUCUGGACUGUAACUGACACUGAGGCACGAAAGCGUGGGGAGCAAACAGGAUUAGAUACCCGCGUAGUCU